rnacentral:rRNA from 1 species
ACCUACGGGGCGCAGCAGUGGGGAAUAUUGGGCAAUGGGCGCAAGCCUGACCCAGCGACGCCGCGUGGGUGAAGAAGCGCCUCGGCGCGUAAAGCCCUGUCAGCAGGGAAGAAAAUGACGGUACCUGAAGAAGAAGCCCCGGCUAACUACGUGCCAGCAGCCGCGGUAAUACGUAGGGGGCAAGCGUUAUCCGGAUUUACUGGGUGUAAAGGGGGCGCAGACGGCGAUGCAAGCCAGGAGUGAAAGCCCGGGGCCCAACCCCGGGACUGCUCUUGGAACUGCGUGGCUGGAGUGCAGGAGGGGCA